GACGAACGCUGGCGGCGUGCUUAACACAUGCAAGUCGAACGGAAAGGCCCUGCUUUUGUGGGGUGCUCGAGUGGCGAACGGGUGAGUAACACGUGAGUAACCUGCCCUUGACUUUGGGAUAACUUCAGGAAACUGGGGCUAAUACCGGAUAGGAGCUCCUGCUGCAUGGUGGGGGUUGGAAAGUUUCGGCGGUUGGGGAUGGACUCGCGGCUUAUCAGCUUGUUGGUGGGGUAGUGGCUUACCAAGGCUUUGACGGGUAGCCGGCCUGAGAGGGUGACCGGCCACAAUGGGACUGAGGUACGGCCCAGACUCCUACGGGAGGCAGCAGUGGGGAAUAUUGCACAGUGAGCGGAAGCCUGAUGCGGCAACGCCGCGUGCGGGAUGACGGCCUUCGGGUUAUAAACCGCUUUCGCCUGUGACGAAGCGUGAGUGACGGUAAUGGGUAAAGAAGCACCGGCUAACUACGUG
rnacentral:rRNA from 1 species